GGCCUCAUAGCUCAGUUGGUCAGAGCACCCGGCUCAUAACCGGAGGGUCGAAGGUUCAAGUCCUUCUGAGGCCACCA
rnacentral:tRNA from 1 species